rnacentral:rRNA from 1 species
CCCUUAGAUGCUCUGGGCCGCACGCGCGCUACACUGGUCGAUGCAACGAGUUUCUUUCCUUGGCCGACAGGCCUGGGCAAUCUUUGAACAUCGAUCGUGAUCGGGAUAGAUUCUUGUAAUUUUUUAUCUUAAACGAGGAAUUCCUAGUAAACGCAAGUCAUCAGCUUGCAUUGAUUACGUCCCUGCCCUUUGUACACACCGCCCGUCGCACCUACCGAUUGAAUGGUCCGGUGAAAUCUCCGGACUGGCGUGAGUCGGAGCAAUCUGACAAACGCCGGAAAGUUGAUUAAACCUUACCAUUUAGAGGAAGGUGAAGUCGUAACA